UCCUGUCGUGUUGUGCGGGAGGCUGAACCCCUCCACGUGGGCAACAUCGCCCACCUGCAAGCAGGUGUGGUGGCUUCUUUCCUAGAAACCAAAGCCUGUUCUAUGAACAGUUCUGCGUGUUCCCCACAGCUGAUCCGAUCUCCAGCGUUGACCACCCUGGGGCUAAUGCCGCCAGUUAGCUUGUGAAUUCCUGGAGGCGGCCCUCCCUCCGACAGAGACGGAAAAUGGAGGGUUCGUGCAGCAGCAGCCAGCAUCAGGGAGCCGUCGGCCGGGCCGGGACACGGAGACAAAUCAGGCCGAAGCUCUACCCUCCAAAGAGUUCGAGUGUGGAUGGCAGACCAAAUAGAAAUGUUUUACGGCCUGGGGAAGGGAGAGCGAUGCCUGCGAGCCAGCGAAGAGUGUGAGCUUGUAUGCUUUUUACGCGUCCAUCAGAAGAAAGAGAGAUGAGAAAGCCAAGAAAUCAGCGAUGGCAGGCUUGCCUCAGACUCCUUCAAGUCAAUCCCCGAUUCCCCACGCACCUAUCGAGAACCUACCCCAUGCAUGCAGAUAGGCAGGAUGAGAAGAUGACCCACACAUGGUCCCCGCAG